AGGUUCGAAUCCUGCACGACCCACCAAUUUCAGCAUUUAACUCAGAUGCUGAACGUGAAGGAUAACGUUGCGACAGCAACGGCCCGAAGGGCGAGGCGAAGUCGAGUCAUCCUGCACGACUCACCA
rnacentral:sRNA from 1 species